CUUGACGACCAUAGAGCGUUGGAACCACCUGAUCCCAUCCCGAACUCAGAAGUGAAACGAUGCAUCGCCGAUGGU
rnacentral:rRNA from 1 species